rnacentral:rRNA from 1 species
GAUGAACGCUGGCGGCGUGCCUAAUACAUGCAAGUCGAGCGAACGGACGAGAAGCUUGCUUCUCUGAUGUUAGCGGCGGACGGGUGAGUAACACGUGGAUAACCUACCUAUAAGACUGGGAUAACUUCGGGAAACCGGAGCUAAUACCGGAUAAUAUUUUGAACCGCAUGGUUCAAAAGUGAAAGACGGUCUUGCUGUCACUUAUAGAUGGAUCCGCGCUGCAUUAGCUAGUUGGUAAGGUAACGGCUUACCAAGGCAACGAUGCAUAGCCGACCUGAGAGGGUGGUCGGCCACCCUGGAACUGAGACACGGUCCAGACUCCUACGGGAGGCAGCAGUAGGGAAUCUUCCGCAAUGGGCGAAAGCCUGACGGAGCAACGCCGCGUGAGUGAUGAAGGUCUUCGGAUCGUAAAACUCUGUUAUUAGGGAAGAACAUAUGUGUAAGUAACUGUGCACAUCUUGACGGUACCUAAUCAGAAAGCCACGGCUAACUACGUG